AGGUCGGUAGUGUAACGGGAGCACGGUGGUUUCCAACGCCACUUGUCAGGGUUCGAAUCCUUGUCGACCUG
rnacentral:tRNA from 1 species